UUGUCAAUUAAUAUUCUGACGUAUACGAAUAGUGAUAUUCGAUAAAUGAGCACCUCUGCUCGUACGCGCCGCAAUCUGAUCGUCGGUUUGUCACCCGGCACACCCCGUUGUUGUUUCAGUAAUUCUUUAAACGGUUUUGUUACUUUAUUUGCAUAUAUUAGUUGAACGCGAUUUACUUGAUGGUUUUAUAAUCAUUGGCAAAUAAGAAUGUUCAUUUGCUUGAUCUUGUUUACAUAACAACAGUAAGCAAUCAUCACAAAUAAGUGAAAGCGAUAAACAUUUCUUGAAAGCAUAAGAAUUAUCAUUUGACAGAGAAGAAAACAAGAUUGAUAUAUGCUGUAAAUACAGAAAAAGUACAAGAGAGUAGAAUACUUUCUUUGACGAAUCGACUAAACGGGAAAGUCUAAAGAGUACGAGUAUGCUUUAUUGGUGCGAGAGACAUAAAACAAUGUAUAAAAUUUGAAAAAGAAAUUAGGCGGAGAAGCGUUACCUUGGGAUUCCCGUUGCUGAGCCAUGGAGCGGCAUAAAACCGUCCAUAUCACGCGGAUUCACCGCCAUGGUGGCUAAACGCACGUCGUCUCCACACCUUCGCGAGGAGUCUCUGAACCAAACUAGAUUUCACUCGUGCACGUCAAAGCACAUAGCUCGUAAAAGUUUCACGAUGCACGAAAACCAAACUCGCGUCUUUCGUCAUGCCAAUGACGUUUCUCACCAAGUACUCGAUUAUCGGCCAAGCAAAAUUGUCCGUGCGGUUUAAAAGCCAUACGCAAAACAGUACGAUUCCCUGCUUAAUUCGCGACCGCUGUCGCGAUAGGUAUUUCGAUGUAUCGAUCUCGAACAAGCGACGAUUUUUUCACGAUUUUGUACGCAACAGUUUGUCAAACGUCGAACGAUUAAACAGAAACCACCGUUUGCAUUUUAUUUCUAUUACGCACGAAAAAUAACGAACACUAACGAAAAUUAUCGUGCAUACGACGCCAUUUUGAUUUCUCAAUCAUCUGUCUCUGUUUCUCUCGUAUGACUACAGCGACAGUUAGUUCGAGCGGACGACACGUUAAACAACGAUUUUGUUCGUCAGUUGCAUCCAGCGAAACUAUUUCAAAUAUUUUUUAGUUCUUUUUGCGUUAUCGUCGUUCGAAAUAGUCAUUGAUCGGCCGAAUUUACAUCGCGUUAUACAUCCAAUGAACAAUAAGAUACAGGAAAAUGGAAAAAGAAUGUAACAUUCAACAAUGUAGCAAAACAGUACGAUUAUGCGUAAAAACAUUAAA